rfam:Erinaceus europaeus unplaced genomic scaffold scaffold00199, whole genome shotgun sequence
GUGCUCAAAUUGGUAGCAGAUAUACUAAAAUUGAAACAAUACAGAGAUUUGCAUGCCCUCGUGCAAGGAUGGCACACAAACUCUGGGGAUGUUGCAUGUUUUU